GACGAACGCUGGCGGCGUGCCUAAUACAUGCAAGUUGAGCGCUGAAGGUUGGUACUUGUACCUACUGGAUGAGCAGCGAACGGGUGAGUAACGCGUGGGGAAUCUGCCUUUGAGCGGGGGAUAACAUUUGGAAACGAAUGCUAAUACCGCAUAAAAACUUUAAACACAUGUUUUAAGUUUGAAAGAUGCAAUUGCAUCACUCAAAGAUGAUCCCGCGUUGUAUUAGGUAGUUGGUGAGGUAAAGGCCCACCAAGGCGAUGAUACAUAGCCGAACUGAGAGGGUGGUCGGCCAAAUUGGGACUGAGAAACGGCCCAAACUCCCACGGGAGGGAGCAGGAGGGAAACGUCGGCAAUGGACGAAAGGCCGACCGAGCAACGCCGCGGGAGUGAAGAAGGUUUUCGGAUCGGAAAACUCUGGUGGUAGGGGAGAACGUUGGUGGGAGUGGAAAGCGCAUCAAGUGACGGUAACUACCCAGAAAGGGACGGCUAACUACGUG
rnacentral:rRNA from 1 species